rnacentral:rRNA from 1 species
UACGUAGGUGGCGAGCGUUGUCCGGAUUUAUUGGGUUUAAAGGGAGCGUAGGUGGCUUUGUAAGUCAGUGGUGAAAUAUUGCGGCUCAACCGCAAAACUGCCAUUGAUACUGCUUAGCUUGAAUCACGUCGAGGUGGAUGGAAUAAUACAUGUAGCGGUGAAAUGCUUAGAUAUGUAUUAGAACACCGAUUGCGAAGGCAGUUCACUAGGCGUGUAUUGACACUGAGGCUCGAAAGCGUGGGGAUCAAACAGG